CAUAGAGGACAGAAGAGAACGCACAAUAAUGACUGAUGAGGUAAGCGAAAAGCACCUCCCCUGUCUGUGCGGACUCGUCAGUCCUCUCGGUAGCUUUGGGCAAAGGUACAACGCUCCACUCGCUUUGGCAUAUUCAUUUACCCCCUACCAUCAUAGCAAUUGAACCAGCGAGUCUGGGGGAUGCCACAUUGAUAUUCACAACUCAUCUCCAUCCCCCAGCCACAAGCAUCCCACUGGAAAAAUUAUUUCAUUACAUAUAUUAUGCAGUCAGUGUGAGGGAGCCGGUGGACGCGCCGCAUGCAGGCGCGUGGGUGAACACGGAAUCUUCACUGCCUAUACAUGUCUGUGGCAAGAAGAGUUUUUUAAGAGUGUGUAAAAAGAUGUAUAACGCUUCAGGGGCCCAAUGUUAAUGGUACUUCGUUUACUUUGUUAGAGGGAGUGAAGACAAAAUAUUUAUUCUCUAAUGCUUUGUGUCAGUGUUAUAAAAGUUUAGACGCGUUUUUAUUUGACGGUUGAAGUUGCCAACAGAGUUCUCUUCGCAUGCUGUGCACAAUGUGUCACGCAGAGCAGAAAAUGAAUAAUUUGCCAUCCAUCACAUGCCAGUGGCCGUGAAUAUUUGAGCAGCUCAACACUGGACACUCUUGUUUGAUUUGAACUGGAAUCAAUUUGGAAACGAAACCAUUUCACCUCUGAUUAAGCGCCGCUCGCUCUCUGCUGUGGCAUGCUGACCUUUCCAGUCCGUCUUAUGCUGCCAGGAAGGGCUGGCCAGCUGGGUGAUAUGCUCACCUAAUUAGGCUGACUGAUGUGAGUAGGCGGGGCUUGACAGUGGCUUGAAGUUGAACCCUGAGUCCGGAUCACAGUAAAUCCUAAAAAUCAGAAUUUAAUGGCUAAUCGUUACAUAGAAAACAAGUGUCACAAGGACGUAUAUUCUUUGCAGGGUUCAUAAAAGUCAACUUGAAUGACUUUUGUAGAUUCUCAGUCAUCCAGGUUAUGGUAAAAGUUGAACUGGGGCAACCGGUCUGUUUUUGCUUCUUCAGGAUGCUUCACCUUUAACCCAAAAGGCUUCUUUAGUUCUAAAUUGUAAAGUGUGAUGUCUCCUUUCAAACCAGUGGUCCACCCAAUCCAAAUUGUUGAUACGGUUGUGCUCAAAGAAUCACACCUUCAUUUUAGUAUGCAAAUGAUCUGCUGAUUCUGGGCUCAUAGAAACUGCACUCUUAUGCUGUGCCGUGUGUUUGUGUUAAGGAAGCUUGCUGUCUCAAAUGUAGAGGUCAUGGCACGCCUCACUACACUGAACUGCAAAAACAACAUUGCUGAGUUUGCUCUCUGUGGAUCUUUUCUGAAUCUUUUCACUUAAUUUGAUUGGGCAGAUUUCUGACCUUGUGCACAAUACAAAGACACUUCAGAAAGAUAAUUAGCACUUUCAAUAGAUGCUAUGAUUUAGUGUGCUCCCUGUCUCUAUAACCUGAACACAUCAUUCGGAAGUGCAAGUCCAAUUGAAUCGUUUUAAAGAAGUAAAGAGCAUAUUAACAAAUGCAUAAAAAAAUAACACCAUUUUCAAUGCACCAGUAUUUGAAGCGCUCUGGCUUCACAGCAUUGCUUCAGAUUGGCAGAUGAUUGACAUGUUGAUAUGUUUCUGUUUAUAUGAUUUUCAUGAUCUGCUUCCUGUGAGUAGCAUCCACUGACACCCACAUUUUCAUUUAAAAAAAAUGAAUGAGAAAUGAAAUGUGGUUAUUUGUUGCUUUCCUGCAUACUCCCAGAGAGUCGCGGGCAAACCCAACCUAACUCGCAGAUCAAGUGUGGAUUCCUCUCUUCUAUUUGUGCUCGUUUGGCUGCAGGGGGAAACAUGCUCCACUCUGACCCGGGGGCACUCAUCCAAUCAGCUCGCUAUCUGUUGCAAGGGCUUUCAUAAUAGUGACAUUUUUCCACCUCGUCAAUAAAGUGGUGAAAGCCACCCUCUACCCGCUACUUGACCGUUUAACUUCCCCGUGAAAAGGCUCUUUCUUUGCGUCCGUCUCCGUGUCUGGUUGAAAUCAAUAACAGCGGAGCAAAGCAAAGAGAACGAUCCAAAGGCUGCGUUAAGCGGUGCAUGGCCUCCACUGACGCGACAGAGAAGUUCCAGUCUGUCUCAUUCACACUGCAGGAGCAGGACCCCGCCUCUCGUUUAUACACACACACGGCGGUGACAAAAGUGACAUACAUUAACAGAUGCAAAGCGUCUACUCUUUAACGAUCAUUGCUUGCCGGGAUGCAUUUAGCUGCAGCAGUCACACAUCAGCACACAUCUGUAGUGACUGACAUAAUAGCAUCAGAGCGAGAGAGAACAAAAUGUCUUCCGACGACGGCAGAAUAAGAGAGCUGGGUUACGCCGAGGCCCACGACGAAAAGAGCGUUGAGCUUUGUUUGGUUAUGCUGUCUGAGCUGAAAUUGAUUGUUGCUGGAAGCAUGCACCAAAGAGCCCCUGAAUUCAUAUGAAAUGAACCUGCCCAAAUGGGAAGGGCAGGUGGAGGAAAGAGCGAAGGUGAAAAAAAUUGAGGGGAAAGAUGAUGGCUGGAGUUCAAAAUGAAUAUACAAAUAAAAAAAUGGAUGCAUGGAUGACAGUCAAGGCGAUGAAUCCCACGUACGGUAUGUCCAUACGGCAUUAAAAAAAACAUGGACGGGUGACAGCUAAAAAGACAGGAGGAUGACAGAAAGCCACGCAACACUCCUCAAACACAAACAACAGGAGAAGGGACUCAGCUUCUUAACAGCACUGAAUGACCUAUGAGGUAACUAAAGCUCGACUCUUUGUAGAAGACUUACAAGAAAUCUUCUCCAGGUGUCUGUCAUAAUCUAGUGUUACUUGUGCGUGCAUUUAAAAAAUAUGCUAAUCUGCAGACAAUUAAACAAUGUAACGCUCCAGGAAUGUGUUAAACAAUGUGAUCUAAGGACAACUUUUGUACCACUGACUGGACAUCUGGAUGUGUGGGUAGAAGGCAGAGAGGGAGGGUGGAACCAAAAUGGACAGACACACAUGGCCGAAGUUGGUGUUCAACAAGAAAUGGGAUGGGAGAACAAGUUACAUCACGCCCUAAAGUUACACUGUAAUUAUCUCGUCUAUAUAAGGAAUCAUAUUAUUCCGCAUAUCAUCAUUGAAAAAGUCAUAAGCACCUCCCAAGGAAUUUUUUUUUGCUCAAGUCCAACGACAUAAUUCAACUAAAAUAAAUUGCAGAUUUCAGCCUACAAUACUCCCCAAAUGUUAGGGCAAGCGAGCUUUCAUGUGAAACUUUAGAAUGGACCUAAAAUAUGCUUGUAACCUUUCCAGGUGAUCUUAAAUUGACCUUCUCAACACUUUUGAUUGCACACGUCCAAAUAUUUAAUGUCAAGGAGUUGAAUGGCAAAAUUCAUAAUGGACCAAUAAAAUUUCAGGUUCAAUUCAAAAUUGUUUUUUUCUCCAAUCAUGGCAUCAUGCUGUUCACAUGUUGACACCACAAAACCAAAACAAGAACUAUUAAUUGAUUAAGAGUACAUUGAAUUUCAACAAGGAAGUGGCCGUGUGGAUACAGUCAUCAAUCAUGGAGACUGGAAGAGCCGCAGAAAAGCAAAGUGGACUUGUCGAUUUAUUGAUCAAACGCCUGUUGUGAAUUUGACCAUUGUUCUUGUUUAAGAACAGUACGUUGCACAAAAAGUACUGAAACACCAAAAAGUUAGAUAAAUGCAAAUGUUUCAAAAAGGUCAAAUAAAGUUGACCGGUAAAAGUUAAAGUGAAGCCAGCAAGUCAGAAAUGUCGUCGAGAUCACAGUACAACUAUACAAGAUCCUUCUACUGGCUACUGAAUAAAUUCAUUUCAUACUCAUUUCAAACUGGAGACAAACAUUGCAAACAUCACAGACAUAGGCCACAGUGGGUGCGGUCAUGCUGCUUAUUUUGCUAACGAUAGCCAAUGAGUCAUUUUCUUUUGCAGCAAAGUGCGAGACGAAAUUAUGGAGCAGUGAGGAGGACUCCUGAUGGAUUGAUCCCACUUGACAACAGGCACAUGCCGGGCUAACUUUGGCUCCCAUGCACUCACUCUGAUAUUCAUGAUUUUAGGGAGAUUGUAUCGGACGACACGCGUAAGCAAGCUCUGGGGUGUUUUCCCAGAGAGGGAAGCCAGUGGAAACGAAAACAUCGUUAAGAGUCGCCCGCAGUGUUGCUAAUUUAUGCAAAUUAAUUUCUCGGAGUGCAGUGAAAGGAGAGGGAGUGGGUGCCAAAGCUUGGCCAGCAGUCAACGUCGGGCAGUGCGCUGCUUUGGUGGUCCGGGAAGUUUCGCAGAGUGAGCCAGGGAUGACUGCCAAGCCACAGUGAUGAAGACUCCACACAGUGCCCCCAGCGCUCUUCUUGGCAAGGCUGGCGGCCAAUCAGAUCAGGGGUGGCUCUCUCGCCGAAGAAUAACAUGGCAUGCCGGCCCUCUCGCCGCCCCGCCUCCUCUUGCCGCUGCAACGCGGCUGCCCAGAAGGAUUUUCUAAACAUUUUGCCAGGGGAUCAAUACCUGUAUUGAUCAACCAUUGUGAGAGUGAUCCGUCUAAAACCCCGAGCAGCCUGGGAGCUGGGAGGAGCGAAAGAGAGAGGCUGCAGAGAGGAUGGAGAAAGAAAGAGUCUGCAGCCACAAUGAAAAGGAGAAGAGGUGCGAGGGAGGAGAGGGGCAAUCCGAGCGAGCGGCGGACGCAGGUCGGGAUGGUGCUUUCGGACUCCGCUGCCAGGCCACUUGGAUUGGGCCAAAGCCUAUGAGAGAAACUCAUCGCUCUGCCCCUUGAAACACAUUUUGGACAAAAGGCCCAACAUGUACCGAGCUGACAUCUUCAACUGAAACACUAACACCAGAAUGGGAAAUAUUGGGGGGGGGGGGAAUCAAUAGACUGUGUCCUGGAUACAAACAGCAAGAAGGAACAAAAAGAUUAGGUGGCAAAUCAAAUUUUCAUUUUAAGCCCAUGCAAGCAAGUCAGUGUUUUGGGACUUUUAUGGAUGCAUCCAACAUGGAAUACAGGGAUGUUUUUCUACUUCCGAGUUUGUGGGGAAUACAGCUUUUUUUUUGUUUUUGUUUGCUGGAUUGAGUGAACUGCUCAACAAAGGCAAUGAGCGUCAAUGAAAGGCCUUGAGCUGGACCUAAAGGAGUGUUUCCAAAAGCCUCUGGGAUGCCUCCCACCCACCCCAAAUGCUAAACCAAAAUCAAGUUUCUAUUGAUUGGUUUUAAAUGUCAUGUCCUUGUGCAUAAUUGAGGAUUUGAGAGAGACAUCAUUCCAAGCAGUCCAAAUUUUGCUGGAAGACCUUGCUGCCAAUGCAACUGGAGCUGUGGUGUGGGAAAGCUGAUUUUGAAUGAAAAUAAAGAAUACUGUCCACCAUA